GAUCAUGGCUCAGGAUGAACGCUAGCGGCGUGCUUAACACAUGCAAGUCGAGCGAAGCACUUAAGUUUGAUUCUUCGGAUGAAGACUUCUGUGACUGAGCGGCGGACGGGUGAGUAACGCGUGGGUAACCUGCCUCAUACAGGGGGAUAACAGUUAGAAAUGACUGCUAAUACCGCAUAAGACCACGGUACCGCAUGGUACAGUGGUAAAAACUCCGGUGGUAUGAGAUGGACCCGCGU
rnacentral:rRNA from 1 species